rnacentral:rRNA from 1 species
GACGUAGGGCGCGAGCGUUGUUCGGAUUUACUGGGCGUAAAGGGCGCGCAGGCGGCGGACCAAGUCAGGCGUGAAAGCCCGGGGCUUAACCCCGGGUCUGCAUUCGAUACGGGCAGACUAGAGUGUGGUAGGGGAGAUCGGAAUUCCUGGUGUAGCGGUGAAAUGCGCAGAUAUCAGGAGGAACACCGGUGGCGAAGGCGGAUCUCUGGGCCAUUACUGACGCUGAGGAGCGAAAGCGUGGGGAGCGAACAGG